rnacentral:rRNA from 1 species
CAUGAAGCUGGAAUCGCUAGUAAUCGCGGAUCAGAAUGCCGCGGUGAAUACGUUCCCGGGUCUUGUACACACCGCCCGUCACACCAUGGGAGUCGGAAAUGCCCGAAGUCUGUGACCUAACCGAGAGGGAGGAGCAGCCGAAGGCAGGUCUGAUGACUGGGGUGAAGUCGUAACAAGGUACC